UUCCUGGCGGCCUAGUGGUUAGGCCACAGGGCUCUUACCUCUGUGGCCCCGGUUCGAUUCCUGCCCAGGGAA